rnacentral:lncRNA from 1 species
GUCUGUGGUUGGUUUCUAUGGUAGCACAGGGUGAUGGGAGUUCAGGAUAGUUAAUACUCAGAGGCAGCGGGGCACUUUAUAGAUUAUCCAUGCCCUUAUUAUAUAUACCUACAUGACUUUGCCUGAAAAUCUGUCAUCAAGGCUCAGGAGCAGGUCUCAAGAAGCAACAUAGACUUGGAAAGAUGGGAAUGGCAUCCAAGGGAGAAAACCAGAAUGAGGACUGCAAGCAGACAACGCAGGCUGAGAUUCCAUUAGACACUGAGGCCCAGUUGCUGGCACUGCAGACAUCAGCCAGAGAAGGUUUGGAACACGUGAACAAAACGAAAGAGAAGAUCUCUAACCUCAACCAAGUGAUCAGGAGGCAAUGGAAUGAAAUCAAGCUGGUAAAAUCCCGGUGUGGGGAGCUCCAGGACUCCAUUGACACCACCAAACGACUUGAGAGGAUAUCUCUGAAGGUCACUUGGAGCAAACUAUCUGAGCUGGAAAGUGACUUGAAGAAGGCUGAAGAAGACACUGCCCGGCACCUGAAGAAGUUCCAGUUGAUGAGUAAAGAUAUAAAGACCAGCUACCUGAAGAAGACAAAAAGUGAGCUGCUCAGGAUGGUCAACAUUCCUCCAAUUGACAUCUAUGCAAAUCCCUAUGCUCAGGCCUUAGCUGCAUUAGAGUUGGAGGCUGGUGUUGGACCUGAGACCUCUCCUGAAAUCAAAAACGUCAAUGUUAGCUCUAACAGUGAAAAUGCAGUUAAGGAUUUGGAUGGGUUGGGGAUAAAUAUGAAUGACUUUGAGUCAAGAGGGGCAGAGAAAGGCCAGGGGGAGAAUCUGUCUACUUCACAAGGGCAGUCAGAAUCUAGGGUUGACAACGUCCUCAUGGGAACGGAAAUGAGUGAGGAUGACUCGGACAGCAGAAUCAGCAGUAGCUCUUCAAAUGUGAAAAGUAGUGAGAAAGACUCAGAAUGUGAAGUUAGUGAAAAAUCUUUCAGAGUCAAAAGCAGUGGGAGUGACUUGGGAGCCAGAGCCAGUGAAAACAAGGGUCCCUCGGGAGUGAAAAUGAAUAGAAGUAACUCAGGAGUUAGAAGCAGUUCCCCAGAAGUCAAACGCCUUCAGAGUCCCUCAGCAGUUAAAAGGAUCAGGGCUAACUCAAUGAAAUGCAGUGGGAAAACCUUGGGAGUCAAAAUCAACAAGAGUGAUUCAGGCCUCAAAAAUAAGAAUGGCUCCCCCAGAGGAAGAUACAGUGAGAACCUUUUGGAAGUCAAAAGUAGUGAGAGCGACUUGGGAGUCAAGACUCCCUCAGGAGUCAAAUCCAGCAAGAAUCGACCAGGAGUCAAACACACUGGGAGUUCUGCAGGAGUCAAGUCUGGUGGGAACCCUUCAGGGGUUAAACAUGGUGGAAGCCCCCUAGAAGCCAAACAAAGUGGGAGUCUCUUGGGAAUCAAACCAAGUGAGAGCUCCUUGGGAGUCACGGGAACUGGGACCAUGGCAGUGGUCAAAGCUGGUGGAAGCCCCAGCACAGCCAGACCCAGAGAGAACAUCCCAAGAGUUAGAGAGAGUGGGAAUCCCUUGAGAGGCAGACAAAGUGAAUUCACUUCAGGAGUCAAACAGCGAGAGAGAGUCUCAGGAGACAAAAGAAAUGAAAAUUCCUCAAGACUCAAACUCAGAAAGGGGCCCUCAAAGGUUAAAGUUAGUGGGAGCCUCUUGGGAGUCAAAAUCACUGAGAUUCCCUCAGGAGUCAAAAUGAACAAGAACCCCGCUGGAGUCAAAGGCAGCAGAUGCCCCCCAGGAGUCAAAAGCCAGGACAGCUCAGCGGGCCGGGUCAAAUCUGGUGGGAGCCUCUCAGAAGGCAAAGUCAGUGGCAGCUACUUGGAGGUCAACACUACGGCCAAGACUGACCAGAAUAGUGCCGUGGGUCCAAGUGUACAAAAGUCACAUUCCAAAUAAGAGAGGACAAAGCAAAAGUCCCUCGCCUGUCUCUGUUGAUGAAAGUCAUUCUUUAUGACUUUCAUCAGACCCUUUCCUUUUGACAUUUGUUUGAUCAUUUCGACUGAAGUCAGGUAAGAAACUCCACCAUAUUCACCAAAUCACUUUAUCUCUUGUCCUGUCCCCACAGAGGAUGGGGCCAUCCCCUAGGCCACAUUCCUUAAGAGUUGGCUUCCCUUUACUUCACUCUACUCAGAGAAGACUACCUAGUGCCCUGGCCUCAGGAUCCUGGUUGCCAAGAUGUUCAGCUUCCUAGCUAGCCUCAACUCCCUUUGUGUAGUGUAAACUCAUUUUUUUUAAAGAGUAGAAAACAGGAUCUGUCUCUCUCUGUCUCUGUCUCUCUUUCUGUCUCUCUCUCUCUGUGUCUCUGUCUCUGUCCUCUGUCUCUCCAUCUUUGUUUCUGUGUCUGUCUCUCUGUCUCUGUCUGUCUAUUUGUCUGUCUGUCUCUGUCUUUCUCCUUUCUCUCAAUCUCUUUCAUUCUAGAGAAUUCUCACUGAUUUCUUUCUCUCACCAUCUCUCUCCCUCAAUCUCUCAAUAUUUCUCUCAAUUACAGUUUCUCUCCCCUCCCCUCCCCGUCCUCUCCUCUCCUCUCUUCUCCUCUCCCCUCCACUACUCUCUCCUCUCUUCCCUUCCCUUCCCUUCCCUUCCCUUCCCUUCCCUUCCCUUCCCCUCUCCUUUCUUCUCCUCUUCUCUCCUCUCCUCAGCUCUCUUCUCCUCCCCUCUCUUCCCCUCCCCUCCUUUCCCUUCCCCUCUCUUCCCCUUCCCUCCUCUCCUUUCUUCUCCUCUUUUCUCCCCUUAUUGUUCAUUCCCCUCUCAACCUUUUCUUCUAUCUGAACAUUACCAAUUCCUUCAGUUUCUUCAUGCAACCCAAUUCUCAAAACACUGCCUCAUUUGGCUGUGGCAUUAUCAGAAAUGCCAGCCUUGAGGCUAAAAAACAGUAUCUUUUAAGGAGAUAUUUCUCUUUUGCUUUCCCUCAACUCACAUUCUUUCACUGCCCCCUCCCCCAAGAGUAAAAAGGACUUGUCUAUACUGGGGUGGAACUAUUCAUCACAGGUAAUAAUUAAAAGAGAAAAGUCACAGAUACUUUAAAAAGGAAAGGAAAAAAGCAAAGGAUUGAUCACCAAAUAAAUUAAACUUUUAAUGAUUAACA